AUGCUCUCCUCUGCAGCACACAUACUAUAAUCAGACCGAUACUGAGAACAUUAGCAUGGCCCUUGGUAAGGAUGACAUUCAAACCGAUUAAGCAAAAACAAAAACAA
rnacentral:snRNA from 1 species